rnacentral:rRNA from 1 species
UACGGAGGGGGCUAGCGUUGUUCGGAAUUACUGGGCGUAAAGCGCACGUAGGCGGCUUUGUAAGUUAGAGGUGAAAGCCCGGGGCUCAACUCCGGAAUUGGCCUUUAAGACUGCAUCGCUAGAAUCGUGGAGAGGUGAGUGGAAUUCCGAGUGUAGAGGUGAAAUUCGUAGAUAUUCGGAAGGAACACCAGUGGCGAAGGCGACUCACUGGACACGGUAUUGACGCUGAGGUGCGAAAGCGUGGGGAGCAAACAGG